UGGGUGUACUGUUCUGCCAUGGGUGU
rnacentral:piRNA from 1 species